rnacentral:rRNA from 1 species
UGGGGAAUUUUGGACAAUGGGGGAAACCCUGAUCCAGCCAUCCCGCGUGUGUGAUGAAGGCCUUCGGGUUGUAAAUCACUUUUUGCAGGAAAGAAACGUCAUGGGUUAAUACCCCGUGAAACUGACGGUACCUGCAGAAUAAGCACCGGCUAACUACGUGCCAGCAGCCGCGGUAAUACGUAGGGUGCAAGCGUUAAUCGGAAUUACUGGGCGUAAAGCGUGCGCAGGCGGUUCGGAAAGAAAGAUGUGAAAUCCCAGAGCUCAACUUUGGAACUGCAUUUUUAACUACCGGGCUAGAGUGUGUCAGAGGGAGGUGGAAUUCCGCGUGUAGCAGUGAAAUGCGUAGAUAUGCGGAGGAACACCGAUGGCGAAGGCAGCCUCCUGGGAUAACACUGACGCUCAUGCACGAAAGCGUGGGGAGCAAACAGG